rnacentral:rRNA from 1 species
AACGAACGCUGGCGGCGUGGAUUAGGCAUGCAAGUCGAACGGACACUUAGCUUUUUCGAGUGUUAGUGGCGAAAGGGUGAGUAACACGUGGGUUACCUGCCCUAGGGUUCGGGAUAACUUGUCGAAAGACGGGCUAAUACCGGAUACGUUCUUAUUCUUUAACUGGAGUAAGAGGAAAGAUGGGGACCUCNCAAGAGGCCUGUCACCCUUGGUUGGGCCCGCGGCCUAUCAGCUAGUUGGUGAGGUAAUGGCNCACCAAGGCUAAGACGGUAGCUGGUCUGAGAGGAUGGUCAGCCACACUGGGACUGAGACACGGCCCA